UCAAAAGUUAAAAUUGUGUUGUGUCAUGUGAUUAACAGCGGUUAAUGGGUGAAUUGUCAAAUCAGACAUCUUCUCUUUCCCUUUCCCUCUUUUUCAGACUCCAAGCCUGGAUAAAAGAGAAGCAUCUGUAUUAAAAACUGACCGGACUCCACAAGCUAGGAAGUGAGUGUGAAACGCCCAUGACGGGGAAAAAGAUUCUGAAGGUCAUUGUGGAGCCCCUUCUGGCAACCCCUGGGCUGAGGAGCCUCAACUCU